rnacentral:rRNA from 1 species
AGUGAACGCUGGCGGAGUGCCUAAUACAUGCAAGUCGAACGAAGUGGAGCACGGGUGAAUAAUAUAUAGUUAAUCUGUCCUACACAGAGGACCGACAGUUGGAAACGGCUGCUAAUACCUCAUAGUGUAGGAUUAGACUAUAUAGUAUCAGCUAGUUGGUAAUGUAAUGGCUUACCAAGGCUAUGACGCGUAACAGGUAUGCGAGGAUGAUCAGUCAAAUUUGAACUGAGACACCGGUCAAACUCCUACGGCAGGCAGCAGUAAGGAAUAUUGCGCAAUGGGGGAAACCCUGACGCAGCAACGCCGCGUGGAGGAUGACACUUUGCGGAGCUUAACCUCCUUUUAACAGGAAAGCGGUACCUGAUGAAUAAGCACCGGCUAACUCCGUGCCAGCCGCCGCGGUAAUUC